GCCAGCGUAGCUCAAUUGGUAGAGCAAUUGAUUUGUAAUCAAUAGGUUGCGGGUUCAAGUCCCAUCGCUGGCU
rnacentral:tRNA from 1 species